UUGGAGGGCAGUCUGGUGCCAGCAGCCGCGGUAAUUCCAGCUCCAAUAGCGUAUAUUAAAGUUGUUGCAGUUAAAAAGCUCGUAGUUGAAUUUCGGGAUCAAUAUAUCGGUCGUGCCUUGGUACGUACUGGUAUCAUUGGUUUCUCCUUUCUGACGAACCAUGAUGUCAUUAAUUUGGUGUUAUGGGAAGUUAGGACUGUUACUUUGAAAAAAUUAGAGUGUUUAAAGCAGGCUUUAGCUUGAAUACAUUAGCAUGGAAUAAUGAAAUAGGACGUUCGAACCUAUUUUGUUGGUUUCUAGGAUCAACGUAAUGAUUAAUAGGGAUAGUUGGGGGCAUUAGUAUUCAAUUGUCAGAGGUGAAAUUCUUGGAUUUAUUGAAGACUAACUACUGCGAAAGCAUUUGCCAAGGAUGUUUUCAUUAAUCAAGAACGAAAGUUAGGGGAUCGAAGACGAUCAGAUACCGUCGUAGUCUUAACCAUAAACUAUGCCGACUAGGGAUCGGAUGAUGUUAAUUUUUUAAUGACUCAUUCGGCGCCUUACGGGAAAC
rnacentral:rRNA from 1 species